CUUUGUGGGACAAAAAGUGAUUCAGUGUUAGUAAACCUCAAAAUGCUCAAAAACAGUAUGUUUCACUUCUGUUUGCUGAAUGUAACUAUGCGGUCACGACAAGAUGAGUUUGAUAUUCAAAAUAAGAAACAAAUGUGUGUUCCUGUAUGGAUCAGCCUUGCAAAUUCUACUCAUAUCUGCUUUUAUUUUUAUCUUCAAGAGCCUAAAAAUUAUGGAUUAUUUUCAGGCUAUCGGUGGCAUUAUUUGUGACAACAUGCUGAAUCCUAAUUCAACAUUUUACGGCUUAAACAAAUGCUACAACUCUCUGCUCAACCUCUUGUGUCUUCCCUGAUCUCUUUUCAGGAAAAACACCCCAUAGUGAGUGUUUUUAGAUGCAUUAUGGGGCCUUUGUAAUGCAUAACGCUUGACUCAAAAGGUCAGUGACAUGCAUAUUCAUUAUAAAGACUGUAAAACAAAGGAGAGCAGCGAAAGAAUUUGAGAAUUCCUAAAUAGGCUGAUGUACAUGAAUGGGAAAGAAUAUCAGAGAAAAAGAUAAAUAAAAUAAAUAGAAAUUUUGAGUAAUCUCUUGCAAUUAGAUUCCACCUAUUGAGUUUAUCGUACUCGGUCAGUGUCAUGCCUCCUCCCUCCUCCCUCCACCCCUCCCUCCAUCAUUGUAACUAAUCUGUAAGCAUACUUGACUGCAGCUCACGCAGCAGCACACCUCCUCCAACUCCAGCUCUCUUCUGUCACAAUGCUAGACUCUAACGACGCUGUUCCAGCACCAUGCCAGGUUAUCAAAGAGGACGUUGACAAAUGUGUCAGACAGAAGGGAAUGGACGGCUGUAAAGAUCUCAUAGAUGCUUUCCAGGCCUGUAUAAAAACCCUGUCAGAGGCAUCAUAAUAUAUAAGGAAAUCCAUCUUAAUAAAAUCUUCACUUCAUCAAAGUCCUCCACUUUUUAAGCAUCCCCUUCCUUGCUUAUUUCUGUGGACUGAACCAUCUGAAAAACUGAAGAGGAGGGGUGGACGCUGAGCCUCUGUCACUGUAUGCUUCUGUCAAUGUGAAACCUUUUUUCAUUAUGGAGUAUGCUGUAACCCUGACCUAUGUACUGUAAAAUAUUUAUACACAACAACGUAUAAAAUAAAAUAAAUCACCAAUGUCAUUAGCAGCAGUAUUUGUUAUGUUAUUAGAUGCUGUUGGAACUUCUUGACUGGCAGUGCACAGAAUAGUUACUCUUAAUGGAAUUAAGAAGAUCUUGUUAAUCUGUGCUUAAUCCUCACAUUAGUAUCUGUGCUGAGCAGUCUAAUGUCACUUUUUCCAGUCUGAG